AAGUCUCUAAGCAAUGGAUGUCUUGGCUCCUCACACGAUGAAGAACGUGGCAUAAUGUGUUAAGUAACCGGAGUUGCAAACAUCAUGACAGGUUAAUCUUUGAAUGCAAAUUGCGCUAAACUCGAUCUCGGUCGAGAAGCAUGGGUGUGACAGUACUACAUC
rnacentral:rRNA from 1 species